UACAGAGGUGGCAAGCGUUGUUCGGAUUUAUUGGGCGUAAAGAGCUCGUAGGCGGUUUGGUAAGUCUGGUGUGAAAUCUCCACGCUCAACGUGGAGGGGCCACCCGAUACUGCCAUGACUGGAGUCCGGUAGAGGAGUGUGGAAUUCCCGGUGUAGCGGUGAAAUGCGCAGAUAUCGGGAGGAACACCGGUGGCGAAGGCGGUUCUCUGGGAAUGACCUGACGCUGAGGAGCGAAAGUGUGGGGAGCGAACAGG
rnacentral:rRNA from 1 species